rnacentral:rRNA from 1 species
AUUGAACGCUGGCGGAAUGCUUUACACAUGCAAGUCGAACGGCAGCACGGGGGCCGCCCUGGUGGCGUGUGGCGGACGGGUGAGUAAUUCACCGGAACGUGCCCGGCCUUGGGGGCUAACGUAGCGAAGGUUACGCUAAUCCCGCAUCCGAUCUGAGGUUGAAACCGGGGGACCUUCAGGCCUCGCGCGAUCUGCGCGGCCGUUGUCAGAUUAGCUAGUUGGUAGGGUAAAGGCCUACCAAGACGACGAUCCGUAGCUGGCCUGAGAGGCCGACCAGCCACACUGGGACUGAGACACGGCCCAGACUCCUACGGGAGGCAGCAGUGGGGAAUUUUGGGCAAUGGGCGCAAGCCUGAUCCAGCAAUGCCGCGUGCAGGACGAAGGCCUUCGGGUCGUAAACUGCUGUUGUACGGAACGAAAAGGCUCUGGCGAAUACCUGGGGCUCAUGACGGUACCGUAAGAAUAAGCACCGGCUAACUACGUG